rnacentral:misc_RNA from 1 species
GCGGCUUUGAUAAAAGGAGUCCACCCAGAAUGGAGCCCCGCCGCCAUUCGUUCGGCGCUCAUGACCUCCGCUUACACCGUCUACAAGAACGGCGGAGCACUAGUAGAUGUCGCCACCGGAAAACCAUCUACACCUUUCGACCACGGCGCUGGACACGUGGAUCCCGUUUCGGCAGUGAACCCAGGUCUUGUUUACGACAUAAACGCCGAUGAUUACCUCAAUUUCAUGUGUGCAUUGAAAUACACUCCAUCACAAAUCAACAGCUUAGCGAGAAGAAACUUCACGUGUGAUUCAAGCAAAAAAUACAGCGUCACAGAUUUGAAUUACCCUUCAUUUGCU